rnacentral:lncRNA from 1 species
GACAACUACAAGCAAAUGCUGCAAUUUUUUUUUUUUUUCUGUAUUCUGUUCCCCUUGCUGUUCAACGAGGCCUGAGUGAGGGUUUCCUUUCUGAUGAUAAAGAAACAAUAUCUGGAUUCACAGCUGAUGCUUUUCAGAGUUUCGAGGGACAAAAAAUCCAGAUCAUAACUUCAGAAAGCUCAGGUAAGACUGUUUGAAUUCCUUCUGUGCUCCAGCACUUGGAUGUG